rnacentral:rRNA from 1 species
CCUGGUUGAUCCUGCCAGUAGUAUAUGCUUGUCUCAAAGAUUAAGCCAUGCAUGUCUCAGUGCAAGCCACAUUAAGGUGAAACCGCGAAUGGCUCAUUACAUCAGUAUGGUUCCUUAGAUCGUACCCACAUUACUUGGAUAACUGUGGUAAUUCUAGAGCUAAUACAUGCAAAUAGAGUUCCGACCAGAGAUGGAAGGAAUGCUUUUAUUAGAUCAAAACCAAUCGGUGGCGGGCUUGCCUUGCUCACCGUUUGACUUGGUGACUCUGAAUAACUUUGUGCCGAUCGCACGGUCUAGUACGGCGACGCAUCUUUCAAAUGUCUGCUUAUCAACUGUCGAUGGUAGUUUCUGCGACUACCAUGGUUGUUACGGGUAACGGGGAAUCAGGUUCGAUUCCGGAGAGGGAGCCUGAGGAAACGGCUACCACAUCCAAGGAAGGCACAGGCGCGCAAAUUACCCACUCCCGGCACGGGGAGGUAGUGACGAAAAAUAACGAUACGGGACUCAUCGAGGCCCCGUAAUCGGAAUGAGUACACUUUAAAUCCUUUAACGAGGAUCUAUUAGAGGGCCAGUCUGGUGCCAGCAGCCGCGGUAAUUCCAGCUCUAAUAGCGUAUAUUAAAGUUGUUGCGGUUAAAAAGCUCGUAGUUGAAUCUGUGUCCCACACUGUCGGUUCACCGCUCGCGGUGUUCAACAGGCAUGUCUGUGGGACGUCCUACCGGUGGGCUUAGCCCGUAAAAAGGCGGCCCAACUCAAAAUCCUACCAAGGUGCUCUUCACCGAGUGUCGAGGUGGGCCGGUACGUUUACUUUGAACAAAUUAGAGUGCUUAAAGCAGGCUCAUUCGCCUGAAUAUUGUGUGCAUGUAAUAAUAGAAUAGGACCUCGGUUCUAUUUUGUUGGUUUUCGGAAUUCCGAGGUAAUGAUUAAUAGGGACAACUGGGGGCAUUCGUAUUGCGACGUUAGAGGUGAAAUUCUUGGAUCGUCGCAAGACGGACAGAAGCGAAAGCAUUUGCCAAAUGUGUUUUCAUCAAUCAAGAACGAAAGUUAGAGGUUCGAAGGCGAUCAGAUACCGCCCUAGUUCUAACCAUAAACGAUGCCAGCGAUCCGCCGAAGUUCCUCCGAUGACUCGGCGGGCAGCUUCCGGGAAACCAAAGCUUUUGGAUUCCGGGGGAAGUAUGGUUGCAAAGCUGAAACUUAAAGGAAUUGACGGAAGGGCACUACAAGGAGUGGAGCCUGCGGCUUAAUUUGACUCAACACGGGAAACCCGUGUUAUAUACACUGCCAUGUAUAUCUGCUCGGUAUCGCCAGAUGCCUGAGCGAAUGACGAAGUUCGUUGUGAAAACGGCGUUCUUUUUGAAUAUUAUACUUUAAACGCAUAGCUCAAUCAAUUCUUUGGGCGCUAGAUGAAAGUCUAUUGUUUUAAAGUCGAUUGUAGUAAACGCUUGCGUUAGUAUUCUAUAUACUCUGCACAUUUUAUUCAAAUUGUGCGAAUUUGAACAUUCGCUUCAUUGCGUUGUUUUAAGAAAAUGAAAAAUCAGCGAAAGCAGAUUUUUCAAUCUCACACACAGUGAAAUAUUCAUAUUUCAAUUUUGAAACGAGAUUUUGUAUCUCGGACCGAAACGCGAAAGCUUUACGGUGUACUAAUUGUAACCAUAAUAAUCAUACUAGUUUCAGAAUCGCCCGAGUUAUCUUAAACAAUUUCGAGGGAAUCACGAUCGAAACAUGUAUAAAUAUAUAUAAAAUCACCCU